UUAAGUGACUAAGCGUACAAGGUGGAUGCCUUGGCAAUCAGAGGCGAUGAAGGACGUGCUAAUCUGCGAAAAGCUUGGAUGAGUCGAUAAGAGGCGUUUAAUCCAAGAUGUCCGAAUGGGGAAACCCAGUAGAUGAAGAAUCUACUAUCACUUACUGAAUACAUAGGUAAGUGAGGCAAACCGGGAGAACUGAAACAUCUAAGUACCCCGAGGAAAAGAAAUCAACCGAGAUUUCGUUAGUAGCGGCGAGCGAACGCGAAGGAGCCUGUUAGUGAUAAUGACAGAGACAGAGGAACAAGCUGGGAAGCUUGGCGAUACAGGGUGAUAGCCCCGUACUCGAAGUCCAGGUCAUGGUACUAAGCUAACGAUAAGUAGGGCGGGACACGUGAUAUCCUGUUUGAAGAUGGGGGGACCAUCCUCCAAGGCUAAAUACUCCUGAUUGACCGAUAGUGAACCAGUACUGUGAAGGAAAGGCGAAAAGAACCCCGGUGAGGGGAGUGAAAUAGAACCUGAAACCUUGUACGUACAAGCAGUGGGAGCCCUUUUAAGGGUGACUGCGUACCUUUUGUAUAAUGGGUCAGCGACUUAUAUUUUGUAGCGAGGUUAACCGAAUAGGGGAGCCGAAGGGAAACCGAGUCUUAACUGGGCGUCUAGUUGCAAGGUAUAGACCCGAAACCCGGUGAUCUAGCCAUGGGCAGGUUGAAGGUUGGGUAACACUAACUGGAGGACCGAACCGACUAAUGUUGAAAAAUUAGCGGAUGACUUGUGGCUGGGGGUGAAAGGCCAAUCAAACCGGGAGAUAGCUGGUUCUCCCCGAAAUCUAUUUAGGUAGAGCCUUGAGCGGACACCUUCGGGGGUAGAGCACUGUUUCGGCUAGGGGUCCAUCCCGGAUUACCAACCCGAUGCAAACUACGAAUACCGAAGAGUGAUACUCAGGAGACACACGGCGGGUGCUAACGUCCGUCGUGGAGAGGGAAACAACCCAGACCGCCAGCUAAGGUCCCAAAGUCUAUAUUAAGUGGGAAACGAAGUGGGAAGGCUUAGACAGCUAGGAUGUUGGCUUAGAAGCAGCCAUCAUUUAAAGAAAGCGUAAUAGCUCACUAGUCGAGUCGGCCUGCGCGGAAGAUGUAACGGGGCUCAAAUAUAGCACCGAAGCUGCGGCAUCAGACGAAAGUCUGUUGGGUAGGGGAGCGUUCUGUAAGCGGAUGAAGGUGAAUCGAGAGGUUUGCUGGACGUAUCAGAAGUGCGAAUGCUGACAUAAGUAACGAUAAAACGGGUGAAAAACCCGUUCGCCGGAAGACCAAGGGUUCCUGUCCAACGUUAAUCGGGGCAGGGUGAGUCGGCCCCUAAGGCGAGGCUGAAAAGCGUAGUCGAUGGGAAACGGGUUAAUAUUCCCGUACUUGGAUAAACUGCGAUGUGGGGACGGAGCAGGUUAGGUUAUCGCACUGUUGGAUAUGUGCGUUUAAGUUUGUAGGUGGGGAGUUUAGGCAAAUCCGGACUUCUUUAACACUGAGAGAUGAUGACGAGGCUCUACGGAGCUGAAGUAACCGAUACCACACUUCCAGGAAAAGCCACUAAGCUUCAGGUUUAUCUAAACCGUACUGAAAACCGACACAGGUGGUCAGGUAGAGAAUACUCAGGCGCUUGAGAGAACUCGGGUGAAGGAACUAGGCAAAAUAGCACCGUAACUUCGGGAGAAGGUGCGCCGGCGUAGAUUGUAGUCCCUAGCGGGCGAAGGUUGAACCGGUCGAAGAUACCAGCUGGCUGCAACUGUUUAUUAAAAACACAGCACUCUGCAAACACGAAAGUGGACGUAUAGGGUGUGAUGCCUGCCCGGUGCUGGAAGGUUAAUUGAUGGUGUAAUCGAAAGAGAAGCUCCUGAUCGAAGCCCCAGUAAACGGCGGCCGUAACUAUAACGGUCCUAAGGUAGCGAAAUUCCUUGUCGGGU
rnacentral:rRNA from 1 species